rnacentral:tRNA from 1 species
GCCUGGAUGGCUCAGUUGGUUGAGCCUCUGACUCUUGAUUUCAGCUCAGGUUAUGAUCUUAGGGUUGUGAGAUCAAGUCCCACCUCGGGCU